rnacentral:rRNA from 1 species
GACGAACGCUGGCGGCGUGCUUAACACAUGCAAGUCGAACGGGAUCCAAAGGCUUUUUGUUUUUGGUGAGAGUGGCGAACGGGUGAGUAACACGUGAGUAACCUGCCCCCUUCUUUUGGAUAACCGCAUGAAAGUGUGGCUAAUACAGGAUAUUCCAGGCUGGUCGCAUGAUUGGUUUGGGAAAUGGUUUGGUCUGGUGGGGGAUGGGCUCGCGGCCUAUCGGCUUGUUGGUGGGGUGAUGGCCUACCAAGGCGGUGACGGGUAGCCGGCCUGGGAGGGUGGGAGGGCACACUGGGAAUGAGAUACGGCCCAGACUGCUACGGGAGGCAGCAGUGGGGGAUUUUGCACAAUGGGCGCAAGCCUGAUGCAGCGACGCCGCGUGAGGGAUGAAGGCCUUCGGGUUGUAAACCUCUUUCGCUGGGUUGAAAGGCCAUGCUUUGGGUGUGGUUGAUUUGAACUGGUAAAGAAGUACCGGCUAACUACGUG